AAGACUAUAGACCUGCGGAGUACCUGCGGAGGGAUCAUUACCGAGUUCUCGCCCCUCGCGGGGUAGACCUCCCACCCACUGUGAUCACUACCGUCGUUGCUUUGGCGGGCCGCUGGGCCCAGCCCACCGCCGGCCCCGGCUGGCGCGUGCCCGCCAGAGGCCCUACAAACGCUGGAUAUCAGUGCCGUCUGAGUACACAUGUUAAUCGUUAAAACUUUCAACAACGGAUCUCUAGAUCGG
rnacentral:misc_RNA from 1 species